rnacentral:rRNA from 1 species
UACCAGCACCCCGAGUGGUCGGGACGAUUAUUGGGCCUAAAGCAUCCGUAGCCGGCCUUACAAGUCCCCCGUUAAAUCCAACUGCUUAACAGAUGGGCUGCGGAGGAUACUAUAAGACUAGGAGGCAGGAGAGGCAAGCGGUACUCAGUGGGUAGGGGUAAAAUCCGUUGAUCCAUUGAAGACCACCAGUGGCGAAGGCGGCUUGCCAGAAUGCGCUCGACGGUGAGGAAUGAAAGCUGGGGGAGCAAACCGG